GACGUAGGGCGCGAGCGUUGUCCGGAUUUAUUGGGCGUAAAGAGCUCGUAGGCGGCUUGUCGCGUCGACUGUGAAACCCGCGGCUCAACCGUGUGGUCUGCAGUCGAUACGGGCAGGCUAGAGUUCGGUAGGGGAGACGUGGAAUUCCUGGUGUAGCGGUGAAAGUGCGCAGAUAUCAGGAGGAACACCGGUGGCGAAGGCGGGUCUCUGGGCCGAUACUGACGCUGAGGAGCGAAAGCGUGGGGAGCGAACAGG
rnacentral:rRNA from 1 species